GUGCUGGUGGCGGGACACUGGCUCCUUCACGCUCUCUCAGGAAUAUCUAUUCUACCUCACAGGUCGCCUCACUCUCCAGAGGUGCAGUACUCCUGGUUGGAGGAGGACCUCAGCAGCACGGUGCAGCCUCGUUACCCAGCUUAGCGGCCUCUGGCAAGGAGGAGCCGGGUGAUGCUAUAAGAAGCAGCAGUAGCAGCGUGGGCACAGCAGUGGCAGGCAGCCGCCCAAGCGCAGUGGAUGUGCGUUGCUCGAGCUCGGCUGUGAGCACCUCCAGGCAGCGGAACGCUUGUGUACGGAGGUUCUCUCUCCACCAGGAUGUUCAGGCAGCGCUGAACACGUCACAACAACCUCUCAGGCGUCCGAGGUGUUUAUCUCGGGGGCUUAGAACGGAAAAUGAAUAUCAAAGACUGAA